UUGAAAUCUCUCAUGCGUAUUAAACUUAAUAUAUUGCUGUCGUUGCACACAAAUCAACUGUUUGCAAACAUACUUAAGUUAAUCAAUACUAUAAAUUCACUUCAAAAACAAUGGUAAAAAGAUUUAGCUACGUCACAGUGUCCCUGAAUACUUGUAAUUUACAAAGAGUUCAUAUCGAAGGUUGAUUAUUGAGGGUGCCAUCGAAUUAUCCUAAAAGCUAGUUAUCUACAGUGCUACUGAACGUCAGUUGCUGUUUGUUCCCUAUAGAGCUACGAAGCGGUUGAUAUUUAUGGCGCAUGUAUUUGAUUCCAAUGAUUGUUUGAGAUAGAGGUUUUUUUAGUCUUUCAAAUUUAGACACUGCCAUAUUUCAAUGCAUUUGACUUUAGAACCACUAUAAUUUCAGCACCAACGUAUUAAAUCUCUUAUAGAUUUAAGACCUAUGAUUUUUAUCAUCUCUUAUACUAUACGACUACAUUAUGAUGAGUCUUGUAUUAUUCAUGACCGUGUAACUUAGAAAGCUUACAUAAAAUCAUCUCUCACUUAUAAAUACAUAGAUAUUAUAACGCAACAUAUUUAAGUGACUUAUGUAUUAAGUGUCAAGCUAAUUAUGUACUUGUCAUAAGUAAUAUCAAUGUAACCGGCAGCUAAUUUGAUUUAACUACACAGUAACUUUAAGCCUUCAACUAAAUGCUGCCAAUAUAUUACGUCCCCGCAGUUUUUGUAGACCUUGUAUGUUUGUGUCCGUAAUGCUUAGCAACUCUAUAUUUUCAGCCCAGGUAUACUUUGUUGCUAUUUUCAAAAAUUUUACCGACCGCUACGAUUGUCGGUUGUUGCCGAUAAAGUAAAUUUGGAAUGGUAACUUGAAAAUACAUUUAACACUGUUUUUUAAAAUUCAUACGAGAAUACGUCGGUCGGUGCUGCUCUCUUGUGAAUAUUUCACAGAUCUUUUUGUUUCAAAUAUUUAUUAUAACCAAAUGUUUCUCAAAAUUCUGAGAGGUAUAUUUUCAAUGGUUCAAAUACAAAAAAAUAAUUUUUAGAACUUAUUAAUUAACAAUAAGAAUGCCAGGACGUUCCAAUGUAGGAGAAAUCCGUCUGUUCAGUAAAAAUAAAGUUUGAAUUA